GCUCAGGAUGAACGCUGGCGGCGUGCCUAAUACAUGCAAGUCGAACGCUUCACUUCGGUGAAGAGUGGCGAACGGGUGAGUAAUACAUAAGUAACCUGGCAUCUACAGGGGGAUAACUGAUGGAAACGUCAGCUAAGACCGCAUAGGUGUAGAGAUCGCAUGAACUCUAUAUGAAAAGUGCUACGGGACUGGUAGAUGAUGGACUUAUGGCGCAUUAGUUUGUUGGUAGGGUAACGGCCUACCAAGGCGACGAUGCGUAGCCGACCUGAGAGGGUGACCGGCCACACUGGGACUGAGACACGGCCCAGACUCCUACGGGAGGCAGCAGUA
rnacentral:rRNA from 1 species